rnacentral:rRNA from 1 species
UACAGGGGGGGGCAAGCGUUGUUCGGAAUUACUGGGCGUAAAGGCGCGUAGGCGGCCGAUCAAGUCGGGGGUGAAAGCCUGUGGCUCAACCACAGAAUUGCCUUCGAUACUGUUUGGCUUGAGACCGGAAGAGGUAAGUGGAACUGCGAGUGUAGAGGUGAAAUUCGUAGAUAUUCGCAAGAACACCAGUGGCGAAGGCGGCUUACUGGUCCGGUUCUGACGCUGAGGCGCGAAAGCGUGGGGAGCAAACAGG